GUGACCUUCUCUGAGCUUCAGUUGCCUCGUCUGUAAAGUGGGGUUCAUUCAAGAAAUGGUUUCCGAAUGUCUUCGUUGUGCCAAAACACUGAGUUGAAUCUUUAAGUUUUUAAACAACAGUUAAAAAUAAAUAAAUAAAAAGAGCAGCUUCGGACACCCGAAGAGGGUCGCCCACUCAUUACCAAAGCUGAGGGCACACUGGAAGGGCCCCGUCUGAAAAGAGAGGGGACAUCUGUGUUUCUCAGAAUUCUCUAAGUGAAUCCCACGCACCCACUGAGCAUCAAAAACGCGUGCCUACGCCUAGAAUCAACCGCCGGGCCAAUGUCUGAGCGCCAGCCCGCCCGUUCCGCGAUGAGCACCUUUCGAACUUCAAACUACUGCUUGUUCAAAGUGACCAGCACAUAACUUACCUUGUGGUUAAGAACAAAGGACAGGACAUGUACUGCGGCCCUAACCAUAAAGAUAGGAAUUUCCUGCUGGGUCCCAAAAAUUGGAUUUUAAUCUAACUUUCAGUCUGCUUCUGUACCCCUGUGCUUGCUCAAAGAUGAGAUCAUGACAUUCUGUUGUGUAGUUUUUCCCUUUAAAAACGGCUUCCUUGCUUGAUCUUACCGAAGGAAGUUAAGAGCAAGAUCUCAGCCUUUGGUCAUUGGCUAUAAAGGACUUUUAAUAUGAA